UACGUAGGGGGCAAGCGUUGUCCGGAUUUAUUGGGCGUAAAGAGCGUGUAGGCGGCCAGAUAGGUCCGUUGUGAAAACUCGAGGCUCAACCUCGAGACGCCGAUGGAAACCAUUUGGCUAGAGUCCGGAAGAGGAGAGUGGAAUUCCUGGUGUAGCGGUGAAAUGCGUAGAUAUUGGGAAGAACACCUGAGGCGAAGGCGGGUUGCUGGGCCGACACUGACGCUGAGGCGCGAAAGCUAGGGGAGCGAACGGG
rnacentral:rRNA from 1 species